rnacentral:tRNA from 1 species
GCCACCUUAGCACAGCGGUAGUGCAGCGGUUUUGUAAACCGAAGGUCGGGAGUUCAAAUCUCUCAGGUGGCACCA